UUGUCUUUUAAUUGAAGACUAGAACAAAAGAUUUAACAAUUUAAUUAAUAUACAAAAAUUUAAAUUUAUUUUAAAUGUAAAAAAACAUUUAUAUAUUAGGAAGACGACAAGACCCUAUUAAACUUAACUUAAGUUAAACUGGGGCAGUUAAUCAAUUAUUAUUUUAAUAAAAAUAAUAGCAUAAAAGAUCCAACACAAUUGAUUAAAUAAAUAAGUUACUAUAGGGAUAACAGCGCAAUAUUUAUUUAAAGAUCUCAUUUAAAUAAAAGAUUACGACCUCGAUGUUGAAUUAAUAACCUAAAUUAUUGCAGUAAAUAAAUAAAGGAAGUCCGUUCGACUUUUAAAAAAUUACA
rnacentral:rRNA from 1 species